UACGUAGGUGGCAAGCGUUAUCCGGAUUUAUUGGGUUUAAAGGGUGCGUAGGCGGGUUAUCAAGUCAGCGGUAAAAUCGUGGAGCUCAACUCCAUCCAGCCGUUGAAACUGAUGAUCUUGAGUGGGCGAGAAGUAUGCGGAAUGCGUGGUGUAGCGGUGAAAUGCAUAGAUAUCACGCAGAACUCCGAUUGCAAAGGCAGCAUACCGGCGCCCGACUGACGCUGAAGCACGAAAGCGUGGGUAUCGAACAGG
rnacentral:rRNA from 1 species